rnacentral:rRNA from 1 species
UACGGGGGGUGCAAGCGUUAAUCGGAAUUACUGGGCGUAAAGCGUGCGUAGGUGGUUCGUUAAGUCCGUUGUGAAAGCCCCGAGCUCAACUUGGGAAUUGCAGUGGAUACUGGCGAGCUGGAGUGCGGUAGAGGAAGGUGGAAUUCCCGGUGUAGCGGUGAAAUGCGUAGAGAUCGGGAGGAACACCAGUGGCGAAGGCGGCCUUCUGGACCAGCACUGACACUCAAGCACGAAAGCGUGGGGAGCAAACAGG